rnacentral:misc_RNA from 1 species
AGAGUUAAAUAGUACGUGAAAUUGUUGAAAGGGAAACAAUUGAAGUCAGUCAUGCUGGCGGGAAUCAACUUAGGGGAAACUUUAAGUGCACUUCACGUUUGGUAGGUCAGUGUCGAUUUUGGAUAUCAUAAAAUGAUUGGGGGAAGGUAGCUCCUUCGGGAGUGUUAUAGCCCUUGAUAGAUGUGAUGUCUGAGAUCGAGGAUUGCAACGGAUAUCCUUUGGGCUAACCGCCUGAUCUCUAACUGGUGUUGGGUUACGGACAGCAUGCUAACCGUGAUUUAAUUAUUGGUUAAAAGGUUAGAGCGAGUGUAAAUUUGUUAAGGACGCUGACGUAAUGGCUUUAAACAA